UACGUAGGGGGCUAGCGUUGUUCGGAAUUACUGGGCGUAAAGCGAGUGUAGGUGGUUGUCCAAGUUGGAUGUGAAAGCCUUGAGCUCAACUCAAGAAAUGCAUUCAGGACUGGGCGGCUAGAGGACCGGAGAGGAUAGUGGAAUUCCCAGUGUAGUGGUGAAAUACGUAGAGAUUGGGAAGAACACCAGUGGCGAAGGCGGCUAUCUGGACGGUUUCUGACACUAAGACUCGAAAGCGUGGGGAGCAAACAGG
rnacentral:rRNA from 1 species